GAGGUGGUUCUCCUCUGUGUUGUGUGUGAGUGAGUGAGUGAGUGAGCGAGUGAGUGAGUGAGUGAGCGAGUGAGUGAGUGAGUGUGUGUGCAGGCACUUGCUGUUGGUGACUUCCCCCUCCCCUUCGCCCCUCCCCCUCCCCGCCGCCGCUGCAGUGGCCGCUCCCUGGGCCAUAGAUGAGCGAUAACAAUGACAUCGAGGUGGAGAGCGACGCUCACAAACCGGCUCAUCAUAAUACACUGGAACGAAAAUGUAGGGACCACAUCAAAGACAGCUUUCACAGUUUGCGGGACUCGAUCCCGUCACUUCAAGGAGAGAAGGCAUCCCGGGCCCAAAUCCUAGACAAAGCCACAGAGUAUGUCCAGUAUAUGCGAAGGAAAAACAACACGCACCAGCAAGAUACUGAUGACCUCAAGCGGCAGAACGCUCUUCUGGAGCAGCAAGUCCGUGCACUGGAGAAGGCAAGGUCGAGUGCCCAACUGCAGACCAACUACCCCUCCUCAGACAACAGCCUCUACACCAACGCCAAGGCCAGCACCAUCUCUGCCUUCGAUGGGGCUCAGACUCCAGCUCAGAGUCAGAGCCUGAAGAGCCCCAAAGCAGGGAGAAACUCCGGAUGGAGGCCAGCUAA